rnacentral:rRNA from 1 species
UAGCUUAGUGGCGGACGGGUGAGUAACGCGUGAGCAACCUGCCUUUCAGAGGGGGAUAACGUUUGGAAACGAACGCUAAUACCGCAUAAGACCACACUUCCACAUGGGAGAGGGGUCAAAGGAGCAAUCCGCUGAAAGAUGGGCUCGCGUCCGAUUAGAUAGUUGGGGGGGUAACGGCCCACCAAGUCGACGAUCGGUAGCCGGACUGAGAGGUUGAACGGCCACAUUGGGACUGAGACACGGCCCAGACUCCUACGGAAGGCAGCAG